rnacentral:lncRNA from 1 species
GUAAUUGUAAUAAGGCCCAAUCAGCCUGGGUUUAAACACAAAAAAGAAAAUAGUAUUAACCCAACAAAUAAGUGGCCCAAAAUAGCCCUGGCCCAAAGCAAAACAAAAAACAAAAAAGAACCCUAGCCGCAUGUCUGCCCCGACGCCGCCAGCAAGCCUCCAACUGCCGCACGUCUCGGGGCUAGCUCUUCCGCGUUUGCUCACCAUGAUACCUGCAAAAAACGGACUCAAAGAGUCCGGAUGUGAAAAAACAAGCAAAUAAUUUUAUUUUUGUUUCUUUUUUUCGGCCUAUAAAAGGCCAUUUUUAAUAUGUAAAUGGGGGGAUUUUUUGGUAUUGAGAGAAUACAGAGGGAAAAUUUCAAUAGAGAACAGAAAAUUCGAGUUUUUUUAAAGGUGAUUCUUUUAGUUUUUUUUUCUUUUGCAGUGACUAUCAUCUUUAUUUACAUUUUUCUUUUAUCUUUACUUUCAUUUUAUUUCACUUAAAGUAACCAAGAAAAGAAGGAAGGGAUCUUACCUUCUUCGUUGAAGUUGCCGGAUUGUUGUCAACUCCGUCGCGAUCAGAGCGUUGGCGCAAUCGAACGGCGGUGCAAGGAUGCUAGGGAUGAAACCCUAGCAGAGCAAAAGGGGGCACUAGUUUUAUUUUUAUUUUUAUUUUUUUUUCUCUUCUUAUCUGCUGCAA